GAUGAACGCUGGCGGCGUGCCUAAUACAUGCAAGUCGAGCGAAGCGGGGACGGGUGAGUAACACGUGGAUAACCUCCUAUAAGACUGGAAUACCUCCGGGAACCCGGAGCAAACCCGGUAACAACCAGAUUGAGACGCGCUGCAUUAGAAAGUUGGUAAGGAAACGGCUUACCAAGGCAACGUUGCAUAGCCGACCUGAGAGGUUGAUCGGCCACACUGGAACUGAGACACGGCCCAGACUCCUACGGGAGGCAGCAGUAGGGAAUCUUCCGCAAUGGGCGAAAGCCUGACGGAGCAACGCCGCGUUAGUGAUGAAGGUCUUCGGAUCGUAAAACUCUGUUAUUAGGGAAGCGGUACCUAAUCAGAAAGCAACGGCUAACUACGUGCCAGCAGCCGCGGUAAUUC
rnacentral:rRNA from 1 species